GUGGGAUCAGAGAAAAACUUGACUCCAUCCAGUUGCUGCCUUUCUCUCUCUCCAUAGGCAAAAAUCCCAGCAGCCAGGGAUGCAUCUCAUUCCUGGGAAUGUCAUCCUGGAAAACUGGCAGCCUCAAGGGAAAACUGACCACUCCACGGGAAUGCUGGACUUUCACUUGGAAGGACUGCGCUUCUUGUUACCGAGGACGCCUAUGCAACCGAACGCAGUAAAGGAUUCUUAGGAGGCACCUUGACCUCGGUGACUUGCUGGUUUCUUUGUCGGGAGGACUUGGGCCAUGCAUGAUGUGUGCACAAUCCUCUGUGAAGGUGAACCUUUGCCGGUUUCUGUGGAGUUGUCAGCUCCAGCUCACAGGACUUCUUCAGAUGACUGCAAAGCCACCUAACCCAGUGUGAGCUAAUUCUUCUGAAGUGGGGAUGGAUUCUCUUUGGUCCUGCAGAAAUCUUACACCCACAGGAAGUCUGUUACCCAGAGAGUAACAUCUCUGGAAGUCGCCAAGAUGACCUCAAUUUGGGAACUUACAACUUAUGUUAAGAAGACUUCAGGAAGGAUAAAUAAAACCUGUGGUUUGUGCUGCUCCUGUCGGAAAAAAGCUAGAAGUUCUAGAAGCUCUGUGCAGAGUAGAACUCUUACUUAAAUGAAGAGUUCGUCUUGAGAAUGAUACGGAAUCAACACAGCAUGAAUGUAAACGGCCAGAAAACCCAGAACUGGAAAAGUGAGACAUUUGUUCCAUCGGGCAGUUCAUUCUAAGGGAAUGGAAGCCAGAGGAAGAUUUGUGUUUCUCUGCGUGCUUUAUGCAGAUGGGGGAGGAGCCCCUCCUCUGAGGCCAUUUCUGGGCUGCCGCCUAUGGUAACGGAGUUCUCUGUUCUGCCCGUGUGAUGCCUGAUGGCGCACACCAAGCUGUCCAGGUGCCCCGCGGGGUUCAGGUGUAUGCAGAGCCUGGCAGGGCAUUCCCGCACAGCGGUCUUCUCACCCAGCUUGGAUGCCUGGUGACUGGCCAGUUCAUGAGGGAGAAAAGCCGCAGAUCUGGGAUGGAAACGGAAGGACCGUGACGUCAGGAGUGAUCCUGUUGAAGAUCCUAUUUAUGGAAGUUUACAGUUCACGUGUUACCUGCAUGUUCAUUUCUUUACCUGCGUCACGUGAUCCCCCAAACCAUCUCAGAGAAACGGGGCCCUAAAAUACAGGCUUAGAACUCUAGUGGGUGCCCCGCUCAGACAGCAUCAGGAUGGACUGGGAAUUUGUGACUGAAGCCAUCGGAGGCCUUCUUGUCUGCCUUUCCCUCUCCUCCCCUCCAGAGCCACCAUUUGUGAUGGUUUUGUCCUAGUUUUCUCUCCAUGAGGGUUUUAGAGUGCAACAGUCACUUCCUUUGAAACUGAUACCACUUUUAAUCCCAAAUAUUUCUCCAGG
ensembl:lncRNA